rnacentral:rRNA from 1 species
UACGGAGGGAGCUAGCGUUGUUCGGAAUUACUGGGCGUAAAGCGCGCGUAGGCGGCUUUGUAAGUUAGAGGUGAAAGCCCGGGGCUCAACCCCGGAAUUGCCUUUAAGACUGCAUCGCUUGAAUCCGGGAGAGGUGAGUGGAAUUCCGAGUGUAGAGGUGAAAUUCGUAGAUAUUCGGAAGAACACCAGUGGCGAAGGCGGCUCACUGGACCGGCAUUGACGCUGAGGUGACGAAAGCGUGGGGAGCAAACAGG